ACAAAAAGGAUAUAAAAAAGGAGUGUCAGUACUUUACCAAUCAAUAUAAAAAUAAUGGAUACAUUGCAAAGUUUUGGAAUUUCUUGCUUGAUGACUAUCGUUAUAAUCCCAGGAAUGCUUAUCGCCUUUUUGUACGGACUUCGAAUAAGGAGAUCACUGGGCAACUUUAUUUUAGUAAUGGCUUAUGACCGAAUGGAACCGGGAUACUUAUGUUCAAUUUGUUUAGAAUGCGUCAACGAAGGUUGCUGUGAUCUGUUUAUCGUGCAUCGUUUAGCUUGCGGGCAUUGGUUCCAUAAGAAAUGCAUAUAUGUCUGGCUAAUGAAAAAUACCAACUGCCCGAAUUGCCGUCGACAGCAAUACAGCCUCAACUUGUACCUAAACUACAUGUUUGAGCCCUAUAACCGCUACCGCUGAAGACGUACUUAUACUUGCAGUUUUUGUAAGAGCAGUUGUGAAGAAUUGCGA